GAUGCACCGUGGCCGCGGCCGACCCCGAGUUCGCAGAGGAAGGUGCAAUGCGGAGGGAGAAGAGCAGCUUCCCGGGCUGGGGGCGGCGAGGCAGGAGCGCAGCCGAGCUCCUACCUUUCGGGCCGGGCGGACACCAGCCGCGCGCCCUCGCCGGGCGUCCCGGGCAGGAAAAUCACCACGAAGAGCGAGCCAGGGAAAGGCGGCGGGUGGCUUCAGGACAAGGUGCUGGAAACUUCAACUUCAAGCAAAACAUGAUGAAACCUAUUUUACCACAGGGUGAUUAACGAAAACAAGAGGUGAGGAACAGAAGUUCAAUGAAGUAACUUAAGAAUAGAAGUUUCUGAACACAAAAUGAAUUGAGUUCAGCAUGAGGGGGUGGUGGUAUCAUUUCCUGAACCAGAAACUGGACCACAGGUAACGAGUUCCCCAGGCUCCACACCCCCACCAAUUCAGACAAACUUUAGAAGCUUUAGAAAACUAGAACCGGAGUGAAAGGGGUCUUCAGCAGAUAAGAGGCCAGAAUCUGUAAGUAAAAGCUAAUUCAGCCCACCAGCCAAAAUACACUAUGGCUAAAACCACUGGUAGUCGGAAGCAAGGUCACUGGCCACAUUCCGGACCUGUCAGUUCCAAGCCUCGCUGCCCUGCUUCUCCCUGCGGUUCCCCGAAAGGCAGACUCCAGGUCGUACGUGACGAGAAAGCCUCUCUUAUCGCUGUUUUCGUUUUCACAGCCCUCUUGCCCCCAAGGGCCGGGUUCUCUGGCUGCCGGACCCGCCCUUCUGCGCACGGCAGAUUCCCUAUCUCCGGGCCGCACCCCUGCA